rnacentral:rRNA from 1 species
CAGCCGCCACGGUAAUACGUAGGGUGCAAGCGUUAAUCGGAAUUACUGGGCGUAAAGCGUGCGCAGGCGGUUUGUUAAGACAGAUGUGAAAUCCCCGGGCUCAACCUGGGAACUGCAUUUGUGACUGGCAAGCUAGAGUGUGGCAGAGGGGGGUGGAAUUCCGCGUGUAGCAGUGAAAUGCGUAGAUAUGCGGAGGAACACCGAUGGCGAAGGCAGCCCCCUGGGCCAACACUGACGCUCAUGCACGAAAGCGUGGGGAGCAAACAGGAUUAGAUACCCGCGUAGUCCCUGUCUCUUAUAC